CACAGCUCUGGACCAAGGCCUGUGAUAUCUGAUAUCCGAGCCUGAAGCUACAGCUACAAAAACAGGUGUGAACUGUGAAUGAUCAAUAGCUGCCAAAUGUGUCGCCAAUAUGAAAGUCAUGGACAGUUUCCACUGCACUCAUUUAACCUAUGUACCUCUCAUAAGAACGUUCCAUCCUGAGUUCAAGAUGGCCGCCCACUGAUCAUCCUGCCAUGUCACUGUCCCAUGUUUACAUGUAAAGUGAUACAUCAUCGGUGCACGCACUGAACCUAUGAGUUACUUUCCACAGUCAGGAGCUCAGAUUAGUAACAGUUUAGGAACUGGUGUGGGGACACUUAGAGGAGGGGUUAGAGUGCAUCCCAUCAUUUCGCAGGGUGUUGUCUACAGUCAGCCAUGAUGGAUAUAUCACCUUCAGGAGCAAAAACAAAGGCCCAAUCCCAAAUCGACCCCUAAGCCCUGUGCCCAUGUGGAGAUCUGAGAGGAUUGGACAGGUGAAAGUACGGUGAAACUUCCACCUAGCCUAUCAGAGGUCAAGGUGGUGUGAUAACCAUAUUACAUACACCUGUUAAAUCCUCUCAGAUCUCCAGAAGUGCAUAGGGUUUAGGGGUCAAUUUGGGAUUGCACCAAACAGAUAUAGCCACCAUUUUAUACUCUGUGCAAAAGAAAACAUCCAUGUCAUAUACAAUAGCUGGUGUUCAAUCUUUUAAAAGCCUCUCUAUCAAGGCUUAAACUAGUGUUAUUAAUAAUUUGUUGGCACUUAAAAACCUCCAUAUUUUAACCAUCAUUAAAUCAACAAUUACAUAACGCUGAUAUAAUGAUGUACAGUCAGUUUAAGAUAAAUGUUAGUGUUGUCCUUGACUCCCCCUUUUCAGUACUCACAUACUCCCACAUGUAGAAAGCUACAAUAACGCUACAUUCAGAUCUCAGUAACAAAAUAAUGUGUGAGGUGAGCUCAGUCUUUACCCUGACCUGUUGGACCAGUCUGGGCUGCAGAGCCAGUUAUGUACACAGAUACCCUGUGAUUAGGACCUGGGGAACUGGUUCCUAACAACAGACUGAGUGACAGCAUGAGGAGGAAUAGGAACAUCAACUCCACCUUUCACACACUGACUAACUGGUGGUCCUGAACUCAAAAAGGACAAGUUGAAUUCAGUUUGGUUUCAGGGUGGGGAUGCUAUCGCUUUUUUUCAGGUUUUGCGACAUCCAGACCCUCAGCCAUCAAAACUGUCAAUUGAAACCAAUAGAAGCCAUACUUGUUUUUGUGUGUGAUUUACAUAGGGUGUUUGUUCUAAGUUCCACUUUUCAGUGUGUGUGAGAUUGAUAGUGAUAAAGGGAGGUGUGUGUGUAUCGCACCAGUCUCAGCAUGCUUUCUGUUGAUUCUGUGAAACUAUAAAGUGCCCCGCCUUAACAGAUCUGUGAUUCCAUAGAAGUGAAAUGAACGGUGAUAUUGUUGCACCUCCCUCCCUGUAUAGCUUGUACCUCACUGUCUUCUUCAUCUUCUCUCUCGCAGGUAUAACAGACUCUUACCUGACAGACAGUAUGGCCACCUGUGAUACCACUCUAAUUUAUAUUGAGAACCCAUGGUAUUGUGGUUCAUUUAUGUGAGCAUAAGAAACUGCCUAUGCAAACUCUCUGUACGGACUGAAUUAAAGCUCAGACACACCGGUAGGAUUGUCAACCGUUUGCCUGCCGACAGUACUUAGCACCUCUGAACAGUGUCGGAAGUCAAUCUCUUUUGUGUUCAAACAGCAAAGACCUUGGAAGUCAACAGCUUUUAUCCCCUCUAUACCUGCCUCCUACACAACAAACCCUGAGACAUACUGCAGUGUGAGCUGAGCAGCCAUCGCUUUAGCUGUCAUCCACAAGUAAAAUGCAGGUUUGUGCGUGGAUCCUGUGCGUGGAGCAGUCAUUUGUGCAGCCUCUGUGUGAUGCCCAGAUACUGGGAGCACAGUGGACCCAUGGUCACCAGCAUCGUCUCAGACCCAGUACUUACCUCAGCCUCUACCUCAAGCCCAGCCCCAGGCUUUACCAUAUCCUGUGAGGCUGGAUCCUCUGAGCCCAGAAACACCACCUAACUCUCUUUGCAUGUUCUCGGGGUGUGAUAGUUGGUGUGGAUGAGGACAUAGCCUACUCCUGGCCAGUCUGCAGCUUAUGUGGGAGUGACUGCUUGGAGAUGGCACCCCAAAAGCUGUAAGUCUUCAAUGCACUUGCUGAUAAGCUAUAGUGGAUAAGCCUAAUAAACUGAUUGAAUUAUUGGUUUACCAAUACAAUAGAAUAUAAUAACUGAAUUUUUCCCAGAGGGGUCUCGGGAACUCGGGAUGGCUGGGAAAUGUGAAGUCAUCAUCUGUAUUAUAACACCUUAUGUCUGUGCUGUCUCUAGUCAAGCAUUCGAUUGUGUGGCUUGUGAUUCCCUGGUGAGAGUCUGUGAUUUUGAGUUCUAGUUAUGUAAAUGUGUACUGGCAAAUGUCUGUAUUUUCAAUGUGUGAUAGCAGUGUAUACGCAUAUAGUAUCAGAAAUUGAAGUAUGAUCAAAUCUAAUCUUAAUCAAGGUGUGAGCUCAAAACAUCGUAUCACUUUAAGGUUAUCCUCAUACUUCUGUAUUUUCUUAUAGUGUCGCUGUCAAAUAAAGUCUUUGACUGUAUCGUUAUGAGAAAGUGAAACUGUCAAAAAAUGCUCUGAAAUAAAGUCCAUGCUUAUAAUAUCUUAUAACAUUCUUAUAAUGCAUGUGCUGUAAUAUAUGAAGAACUGUAGUUUGAUGGACCAGUACAGGCCAUUCAAACACCUAGUAUGGUGACUAUUCUCUCUCUGUGCUGUUUUCUAGCUCCAGCAGAGCACCAUCAUGCCUGUGUGUUACUCUGCAGCCUCUGGCCAUGAGGGGAGUUCUCUCUCGCUCACCUGUUAUGUAAUAUGCGGUACAUUACCUUCCUUUUAUUUAUGCAGACAGACAGUGCUUAUCUCUCAGUUAAGUAUGGUUAAGUGCACCAGUACAGCAUCUGGAUCCUCCCAUGUGUCAGAACAAACUCAGUAUAUUUGCUGACACAGUGACAUCAUUGUCAUCUGUCCAAUGUCCCGUAGUUAGACUGUGAUAAGAGAUCUGUGUCAGAUUGGUAACAAUGAUUUGAAAGACAGGCGCAGGAAUGCGUAAUAUUUUUUUAAUUAUACCCCAUAUUACGGCGUGUAAAGGCACGGGGACAAACACCAAACAAACACAGGGUUGAAACCCAAACAAAAGAGCGAGGAGUACCUCAAAUAAAUACACACACGCACAAUGAUUAACACACGGGACGAGACCCGUAAUCAUCUGCGCAAUCCACAAGUGCACAAAAGCCCAAAACACACAGCACAGGUACUCACACGCACCAAUGUACAUUGUAACAAUAAUGGACAACACCAUGAUGAACAAAGGGCACAUAUAUACAAAUACAAUUUGUGGGAAUAGGGGCCAGGUGUGCGCAAUGAAAGUUCGAGAGGGAUCCGUGACAAUCUGUUUAGAACAAUGGCCUCACUCACUCACACAGAUCAAUAGUGUAAGAGAAGCCACAUGAUACUAGUGUCGCUGAAGUUGGCUCUAUAUUGCCUUCUAAUAUAUAACCACUAGUUUCACCACAUACCACCAUCAGAGCCAUAUAUCUAAAUGUAUGGCUCUGACCAUCAUAUACCAUCAAGCAUUCUUGGUAUAUUCUUGGCUUACAUCCAUUAUUGAGAAUCCGGGCAACCCAGGUUAACUGAAGUGGAUCAGCACCACAUACCGUAUCCAAUACAUAUAUUGUCUAUUGAAUUUUUGCAUUUUUCCCCCCACCAAUCUAAUAAUAACAAUACUGUGUUUUGUCGUCAGAAACUAUAUUAUACGAGUAACAUUGACAUUUGAUGGUUAGCUUAGCUCCAACUUUUGUUCUCAUUAAGCAUGUCUAACUUGUAUGUAAGACCAUAUCCUAAGACUAUUGAUCCAUGGUUAGGUUUUGAUUGCCCAUGUGCUGGAGUUUCCAGGUUGCAAGAUGGAGAAUGUGUUGGGGAGGGAGGUGGGCCCCAUCAGCGCUUACAUUUGUGUGGUCACCAGGAAACCUGCCCUGUGCAUCGGCCUGGAAGACAUCUGCCUCUGAGGCUGUCAAAGUGGGGAGUGGGACCCCAUGAAAUAAAUCUGUAAGACUGAGGCCUCCUCAGCCCAGCUCCACAAGCUCUCUCUGUACAGAAUGUGAAUAAUUGGUGAACAAAUAGAUCUGUUUGUGUGUUACUGAUGGGUCAGGACCCAGGAGCUGACAGCCCAAGGUUAGAACUGACAGACCAGAGAGGAGCAACAUGUCAGACUUGGCCCACGUGGGUCCAACUGGUGACUGUAAAAUAUGCAUGUUUGCUGUAAAUAGCCACACGUUUCUCUGUGUUUCCUUGAAUAUCUACCUCCUAAUAUAUUUCUGAAGAUGAAUGGUACUUAUACUCUGUCAAUAAACAUUGUAUUAUGCUAGUG